rnacentral:ncRNA from 1 species
AUAAAAGAAAAAUAUAUAGGUGAAUUUUACUUAAAAGGAAAGCAAGAUGAAAAGUCUGCACGGUCCCGCCGCUGUGAAAGAGGAGCCCUUAUAAAAUAUGCCACUGGGAAACUGGGAAGGCUAUAAGGGUGAUGAAUCCAAGUCAGAAGACCUGCCUAUAUAUUAGUGACCAUU